AUACGUAGGUGCCAAGCGUUAUCCGGAUUUACUGGGCGUAAAGGGCGUGUAGGCGGUCUUGCAAGUCAGAAGUGAAAUUCCUGAGCUCAACUCGGGCGCUGCUUCUGAAACUGCAGGACUUGAGUGCUGGAGGGGAUAGCGGAAUUCCUAGUGGAGCGGUAAAAUGCGCAGAUAUUAGGAAGAACACCGGUGGCGAAGGCGGCUAUCUGGACAGUAACUGACGCUGAGGCGCGAAAGCGUGGGGAGCAAACAGGAUUAGAUACCCUGGUAGUCCACGCUGUAAACGAUGAAUACUAGGUGUAGGGGGUAUCGACUCCCUCUGUGCCGCAGUUAACACAAUAAGUAUUCCGCCUGGGGAGUACGGCCGCAAGGUUGAAACUCAAAUGAAUUGACGGGG
rnacentral:rRNA from 1 species